GCCGGUAUAGCUCAGUUGGUAGAGCUGCGCAUUCGUAAUGCGAAGGUCAGGAGUUCGAUUCCCCUUAUCGGCACCA
rnacentral:tRNA from 2 species